rnacentral:tmRNA from 1 species
GGGGAUGUUUUGGAUUUGCCAAAGUCAUUAAAAUUUAUAUAGCAUAUCUUGGUUACGCAAGUAAAAACGUCGAGGUUAAAAUAACCGGAAAAAAUACAAAUACAAUUGGUGUAAAUUCAAGCACAGAACAAAACAUAUAUAGUUAUGUUCCUGCUUCUUACAGCAAUUAUUCUUCAACUCUUGCUUGUUAUUAAUUAAAUAAAGUAAAACCUAAACUUAAAUUAGCUUAAGGUUUAAGUUAGGAUAACAAAAGUAAGCUUGCUCAAAUGGUUUGUUUUUGGCUUUUUGUUGCAAAAUUAACAAAGACUCGUAAUUUAUAUUUUUGUCUAUUUUGUAAUAAAUUAUCAAAUAUUUAAAAUAGACUAAAUAUGUAGAAUAUAUAAAUGAAAAUGGUUUUGUACAUGGGUUCGACUCCCAUCAUCUCCACCA